AACGCACAUUGCGCCCUUUGGUAUUCCGAAGGGCAUGCCUGUUCGAGCGUCAUUUCACCACUCAAGCCUCGCUUGGUAUUGGGCGCCGCGGUUUCCCGCGCGCCUCAAAGUUUCCGGCUGAGCUGUCCGUCUCUAAGCGUUGUGAUACAUAUUCGCUUCGGAGUGCGGGCGGUCGCGGCCGUUAAAUCUUUCACAAGGUUGACCUCGGAUCAGGUAGGGAUACCCGCUGAACUUAA
rnacentral:misc_RNA from 1 species